UUUGAUUAAAGUAUGACUAUU
rnacentral:piRNA from 1 species